rnacentral:rRNA from 1 species
UGCCAGCCGCCGCGGUAAUACGGAGGGGGCAAGCGUUAAUCGGAAUUACUGGGCGUAAAGCGUACGUAGGAUGUGAUGCAAGUCGGAUGUGAAAUCCCCGGGCUCAACCUGGGAACUGCAUCCGAUACUGGGUAGCUAGAAUUUGAGAGAGGCAAGUGGAAUUUCCGGUGUAGCGGUGAAAUGCAUAGAGAUCGGAAGGAACACCAGUGGCGAAGGCGACUUGCUGGCUCAAAAUUGACGCUGAGGUGCGAAAGCGUGGGUAGCAAACAGGAUUAGAUA